rnacentral:lncRNA from 1 species
UGUGAAUAACUUAUACAACUCAAUAGCAAAAAAACCCCACACAUAAUUUGAUUAAAAAUUGACAAAAGGUCUGAAUAGACACUUUUUAAAAGAAGACAUACAAAUGGCAAACACGUAUAUUAAAAAAAUGCUCAACAUCACUAAUCAGGGAAAUGCAAGUCAAAACCACAUUGAGAUAGCAUCACACCCUAAUUGGAAUGGCUACUAUAUAAAAGGCAAAAAGUAAUAAAUACUGUUGGAGAUGUGGAAAAAGGGUAACUCUUAUA